rnacentral:rRNA from 1 species
UACCAGCACCCCGAGUGGUCGGGACGUUUAUUGGGCGUAAAGAGCGUGUAGGCGGCCGCACAGGUCCGUUGUGAAAACUGGAGGCUCAACCUUCAGACGUCGAUGGAAACCGUGCGGCUAGAGUCCGGAAGAGGAGAGUGGAAUUCCUGGUGUAGCGGUGAAAUGCGCAGAUAUCAGGAAGAACACCCGUGGCGAAGGCGGCUCUCUGGGACGGUACUGACGCUGAGACGCGAAAGCGUGGGGAGCGAACAGG